GUCAUAGAGAAGGGCAGCUUCCUAUGUAUAAAGGCCAAUUUUAAACUUAGCAGUGACUAAGACAUUUUUAAAGGGCAAGUCGGAGUGGAGGCAGAGAGGAUAAGCUGCCUCGGUCACAAAUACUACACCCAGAACUCCAGCACAGACUUGAACAUUCAGAGCAAACAGCAAGAGAUCAAGACACUAAGUGCUGUUUGCUGCAGUAAUAGGCAUUACUGGAACAUGAUGACUGCUAUGAAAGACAAUUAGACUAACUUGGAUUUAAUUCCCAAUAGACUCACAUUUGAGGUUAAAAUACAAAAAGAAACAGAGAAAAAUGGAAAUGCUUGCAUUUACUGAACAGAAGGAAUUCACCCAUUCAUUGCCAGUAAGUACCUGGCAGGUGGAAUAAUUCAGCAGCCACAACUGCCGAAUCGGGGAUUCUGUGCCCAAUGAACCUAUCAGAGACCACUGCGGGCAAGCAGUUACAAGGACAGAGGCCCCGAUGACGCUCUCCCAUGUCACCUGCUUAUGACGGACGUCAAACUUCAUGGACACUGAACCAGGCCCUGGAGACGAAAGAGUGAGAAGGCAGAAACGAUCCCGUCACUGGGAAGCUCACACUGCAGAGGAGGGACCCACCGUCAGGACCAGGCACCUUUCAGCCAGUAGACAUGGUCUAGUGGAGAAGGCCCGUGAUGAGGGGCCCAGCAUCCCAAGUUCCCUUUCUGCUCCGCUGGUCUCCAGCUGGCUCACUUUGACUUCGUUCCCAGUCCCUCUGUGCCACAACUGUCUCACCUACAAAAUGAAGGAGAUUGGUCCAGCUCGCUGAAUCCUCACAACAUCCUGGAUACCGCUGUUUCCAUUUCAUAGCUGGGGAAGGGAGACCAAGAAAAAUGAAACGGUUUCCAAGACCCCACAGUUGAUGUAACUACUACAGCUCUCCCAUGGAUGAAAUACUAGGUUACAAUGUCUACUGUUUUGCUGGGAAACAGCUCAUUUUCUCACAGAGAAAGGUGAGGGUAAAAUGAAAGGGUCAAGAGUCCACCUUGGAAAGUCUUCUGGACAAUAACCAAACAUAGUCCACAACAGACUUCUUUCAGAGUUGCCGUCACCUCCCCUUGACCCUCUCUGCAUUUCACAUACAGUCCCUCUACUCCAGGGAGCCGUGGAAUUGACGCAAAAUGGAGAAGGAGAAAGGAUCCAGGGGUACCGAGGAGCACGUGAGGGAAUCACUCACUGAAACGGAGGAACAGUUCAUCCCCGGAAAUAAGAUCCAGCGCUAUGGCGUUAAUUCAGUGUCUUUACUGUUGUGGUUAGUCAUGGAGAAAUUCGGGGCAUCAGAGCUGUUCCUUUAAAGACCGAGGCCACUGUGCUCAUGGACGAGCCAUCACCACACCAUUAUGACUAGUUUUCCUACCCACAUUUGGCCUGGUUUUCCUAUCGACUUCCCAAUCCCUGUGAACGUGUGCAGGUAUUUCCCCGACAAUCUCUACUACUCCCCACUCCACUUGGCCUGUUUGGGAACAGGACUGCUAUUCCAAAUGCAUUCUAUUUGGAAUGUGCAUUCGCCACCGACAACAGACAAAUAAGCCAGAAGCAAAACCACUUUUGACUCUGGGAUACUAACUGCAACAAAUUGCCUGGAAAUAACAAAAUGAGGCUGAAAAGACUAGGAUAAAUAUUCCCUGCAUUUUCUGCAAAAUACCAAUAUUAGCCACGGAAGACACAGGCCAUUUAGCUCCUUGAGCAUCAUUGUAUGAUCCAUAGUUUCCUCACAAGAAGCAAGUUCUGUUUGUGCCAACUGUGUAUGAUUCUGCUUCUAAAGCAUUACUCAAAUUCAACAUUCAGCUCUGCUCAGAGUAUGCAUAAUACACGAAUUAAUAACUAAUAUGAAAAGAAAAAAGGCUCUGCAUGAAAUAACCUUUUUCAGACUGAGCAAUAAUCCUCCACGUACAGUAACAAAAAUAGAUGUAACUUCCUUCUCCUCCUGAGAUGUCCAAUUCCACUCUCCGCGGGAGACUCAUCAAUGAACUUCGAUAAAACACC
ensembl:lncRNA